GGUGCAUUUGUUUCUCACAUGUAGCGAUGUGUAUUUGUGUCACCAGUGUUUGUAUGUGUGUGCAGUAUCUCAUGGUUGUAUAGACUGGGUGUAUCGUGUGUAUUUACGCACAUGUGUGUCCAAUAUUGGUAUGUAUUGGGGUGUGCAUGGUGUGUGUGUAUUGGUUUAUGUAUGUGUAUAUGGUGUGUCUAUGUGUAGACACAAGAGUCUGCACCAGCUGGAGGCGCUUCCCCCCUUCAGCGGGGACAGCUUUUGGGAGGGGGAUGCACACAUGGCAGUGGUCCAGGGGAGGGGGCUCAUCUCUCCCUGUCAUCCACUCUUACCCCUAGACAAGCAUCUUCUCUCCCAGAACCAGAGAGAAACCUGUGACACCCCCAGCCCAGCCUGCCUGGCAGGCAACACCCACUCAAGCUCAGGAGGGAUCACCCUGACAGGGCUGGUGUCCAGCUUGGAGGCCAGCGGGUACCAAUCUGGGGACAGUAGGUCUCUGUUGACCUAGACUGACAGCCCACUGUGGUGGCUCCUUCCAUUGUGGGGCUUUUCCCCUCCAGGCUUCACUGUGCCUGUGGUGUGAUGGAGACCCAGUGGGAAGGGUAGAGAAGAGGGAGAUCAGGGCCGAGCUAAUAAUCUGUACUAAGACCGAUGUGUUUCACUGCUGUGCAGGCUGGCUCUGUGAACAAGCAGGGGGACAGCAUCCUGUGCCGCUGAACUCCGCACCCAAGGUGUGCAGCAGGCAGAUCCAGAGCCAGAGGAACAGAGAAAGACACAUUAGAGAGGGAGGGGGAAAAGAAAUAUCAGCCAUCAGACCAGAGGAAAAAAUCAUUCAACCCCAGAGUCGUUUCCAUACUUCAUUCCAAGAGAGAACCUUUCACCAUUUUGCACAUCCAUAGCAUUUAAACACAUCCUUUUUUGUUGGGUUUUUUUCCUGUUCCUUUUAUAUCAGGUGUGAAUUGUAUGUUUAUUUUGGUGGGAGGAGAUUUAAACCUUAAGCAGAAAAACAGGACUCUUCUGUUGGAUAGAAGAUCAAGAGUAAAUCAAACUUUAGAAGUAUAACUAUAAAAGGACAGAACAGCUGAAUUGUGAAGCUUUACUAAUCUACCAGAGCAUUGUAGAUAUAUUUGACAUCUAUUGUUUAAAAUAGAUGAUUUUAUUCGGGCCCAGGGAACUUUCUUCUCCCUGCAGGAAUGUUACAUAUUGUAUAGAUAAAUGAGUGACAUUUCAUACUGUGUAUAUAUAGAGAUGUUCUAUAAGUGUAAGUGAGAAAAGUAUAUGCUUUAAUAGACUACUGUAAUUAUAAAAUAUUUUUAAUUAAAUAUUUUUUGUAAAUAUGAUAAAGGUGUGUAUGUUUUUUUUAAUCUGUGGGUACAUUCCUUUAGAAAAUUAUUUACAGCUCAAAUACAGAGCUCCUAAUAUGAAAAUUAUCUUAAAUGUUGAGGAUUUUUCACCCAAUGUCUUUUAGACUCGGAAGUUACAGCUAUAGCUAGUGGUCCUGCAUGAUUGCAUGAGAUGUCUAAUUGCAAAUAAACUUGUUCUGAGUCAAUACAGACGUGUUUUCUUCAAUCUAGAUUGAAAAUGUUUGUAACUGUAUUAUACAUUUUGAAACUACAGUUUUGUCAGUUAGGCACAGGGGUUUUUAGUCCACUAUGUACAAGUAGCAUUAAAACAGUAGUGUUUUUUUACUGAGAUUAGAAAAACAAAGUAUAUCUACUUUUUUGCAUAUGGGGCAAUGCUUUAGGUCUCUAAUCAGCUUUUAUAAAAUCUGCUCUUGCAUCAAAAUCAAGGAACUUGCUAGGGAAAAUUCAUCUAACACCAAAAGGUUUAUCAUCACAAACUCUCAUUCUGAUAUUUAAAUAAGUGAAAACAAGUUUUUUUCUGCUUGCAACCAAAGGGCAAAACCAUUGAUAAAUAAACAGCUACUAUUUCCUUCGUCCAAAGAAUAUUGAUACCGGACUGUGGAAAAGCACACGGGCAAAGUCAUUAUGAUCAAUGAUGUAAAUCCAUCUUAACAUGAACUUAAGUAGACCAAAAAUCGGAUAACUGCGUCAAGAUUAUUUUUCUAAUACGAAAUGACUAUCACUUCAUUGCAGCUAUGUUACAGUUAAAAUCCUGUUUAAUCUCUGUGAUGUGUAAUUUCUACAUGUGAACAUUAAACUAGAUUUGCCUGUCUUU